UACGUAGGGGCCGAGCGUUGUCCGGAGUUACUGGGCGUAAAGCGCGCGCAGGCGGCCGCCCUUGCCCGCCGUGAAAGCCCCCGGCUCAACCGGGGAGGGUCGGCGGGGACGGGGCGGCUUGAGGACGGCAGGGGCCGGUGGAAUCCCCGGUGUAGUGGUGAAAUGCGUAGAUAUCGGGAGGAACACCAGUGGCGAAGGCGACUACCUGGCCUGUUCUUGACGCUGAGGCGCGAAAGCUAGGGGAGCAAACGGG
rnacentral:rRNA from 1 species